rnacentral:rRNA from 1 species
UAGCGCGGUGGUCCCACCUGACCCCAUGCCGAACUCAGAAGUGAAACGCCGUAGCGCCGAUGGUAGUGUGGGGUUUCCCCAUGCGAGAGUAGGGAACUGCCAGACA